UACGGAGGGUGCAAGCGUUACUCGGAAUCACUGGGCGUAAAGAGCGUGUAGGCGGAUUUGUAAGUUGGGAGUGAAAGCCUAUGGCUCAACCAUAGAACUGCUUCCAAAACUGCAUGUCUAGAGUGUGGGAGAGGUAGAUGGAAUUUCUGGUGUAGGGGUAAAAUCCGUAGAGAUCAGAAGGAAUACCGAUUGCGAAGGCGAUCUACUGGAACAUAACUGACGCUGAGACGCGAAAGCGUGGGGAGCAAACAGG
rnacentral:rRNA from 1 species